rnacentral:rRNA from 1 species
UACGGGGGGGGCAAGCGUUGUUCGGGAUUACUGGGCGUAAAGGGCUCGUAGGCGGCCAACUAAGUCAGACGUGAAAUCCCUCGGCUUAACCGGGGAACUGCGUCUGAUACUGGAUGGCUAGAGGUUGGGAGAGGGAUGCGGAAUUCCAGGUGUAGCGGUGAAAUGCGUAGAUAUCUGGAGGAACACCGGUGGCGAAGGCGGCAUCCUGGACCAAUUCUGACGCUGAUGAGCGAAAGCCAGGGGAGCAAACGGG